CUUUAGCUGUUAAUCGAAUGGCAUGGGAAGGCCAACCAAAGAGUGUGAGAGUCACGUAGAUGAAAACGGCGAGAGCUGCGCGAGUUCCAGAGUACGGCCAGACACGUGAAACCUGGUCGGAAGAUGGGGGGACCACCCUCCAACCCUAAAUACUACCCAGUGACCGAUAGCGUAUAGUACUGUGAAGGAAAGGUGAAAAGGACCCCGGGAGGGGAGUGAAAUAGAACCUGAAACCUUGUGCCUACAAGCACAUAGAGCACAUCAACGUGUGAUAUGGUACUUUUUGUAGAACGGUCCGGCGAGCGAUUGUAUGUUGCGAGCUUAAGGUCUUAAGGACUGGAGGCGUAGCGAGAGCGAGUCUGAACAGGGCGUUCAGUAACAUGCAAUGGGCCCGAAACCGGGUGACCUACCCAUGAUCAGGCUGAAGUGAAAGUAAAAUUUCAUGGAGGGCCGAACCGACCUCCGUUGAAAAGGCGGCGGAUGAAUUGUGGGUAGCGGAGAAAUUCCAAUCGAACUCGGAGAUAGCUGGUUCUCCCCGAAAUAGCUUUAGGGCUAGCCUCAUAUUAGAUACCCGGAGGUAAAGCACUGAAUGGCCUAGCGCCCGAGAGGGUAGCGAAGCCUAUCAAACUAAGAAUGCCGGAGUAUUGAUGUAUGGGAGUCAGACAGUGUGAGAUAAAUCUCAUUGUCAAAAGGGAAACAGCCCAGAUCUACAGCUAAGGUCCCAAAUUGUAUCUAAGUGGAAAACGAUGUGGAAAUACGCAGACAACCAGGAUGUUGGCUCAGAAGCAGCCACUCAUUUAAAGAGUGCGUAAUAGCUCACUGGUCGAGCGUCUCUGCGCGGAAAAUUUAACGGGGCUAAGAUACAAACCGAAGCUUAGGCUGCACGUAAGUGCGGGGUAGGGGAGCGUUGUGUAAGCGGAGAAACAGUAGCGUAAGCGGCUGUGGAGUUUACAGAAGUGAGAAUGCCGGAAUGAGUAGCGCGAAUGUGGUGAGAAUCCACAUGGCCGGAAACCUCAGGUUUUUGGAGGAAGGUUCGUCCGCUCCAAGUUAGGCGGGAGCUAAGGUCAGGCCGAAAGGCGUAGCCGAUGCACAGACGGUAGAGAUUCCGUCCCCACCGAAAGAUUUAAGCACAGGGACACUUUUUGAAGGUCGGAGCCAGGUGUUGGUUCUGGUAGUGAUCGAGGGAAAUUUAGUACCGAAGUCUGGCUGGAUAAGAGGCGAGAAAAGCUGUGUGUAUAUCUAAGGUGCCCGUACCGCAAACCGACACAGGUAGGUAGGAAGAAGAUUCUAAGGCCAACGGGAGAAGGGUUGUUAAGGAACUCGGCAAGUUGACCCCGUAACUUCGGAAUAAGGGGUGCUCACGAGAGUGAGCCGCAGAGAAUAGGCCCAGGCAACUGUUUACCAAAAACACAGGUUUGUGCUAAAUCGAAAGAUGACGUAUACGAGCUGACGCCUGCCCGGUGCUGGAAGGUUAAAAGGAGAUGUGCAAGCAUUGAAUUGAAGCCCCAGUGAACGGCGGCCGUAACUAUAACGGUCCUAAGGUAGCGAAAUUCCUUGUCAGGUAAGUUCUGACCCGCAUGAAAGGCGUAAUGAUCUGGGCACUGUCUCAACAGCCCGCCCGGCGAAAUUGUAGUACCGGUGAAGAUGCCGGUUACCCGCGACAAGACGGAAAGACCCCAUGGAGCUUUACUGUAGCCUGAUAUUGGGUUUCGGUGUUGCAUGCACAGGAUAGAUGGGACGCUGGGAAAGAAGCGCUUUGGCGUUUCUGGAGCGGACGUUGGGAUACCAUCCUUGCGACAUUGGAAUUCUAACCUGCGCCUCUGAAUCGAGGCGGGGGACAUUGUCAGGUGGGCAGUUUGACUGGGGCGGUCGCCUCCUAAAAAGUAGCGGAGGCGUUCAAAGGUUCGUUCGAUCUGGACGGAAACCAGAUGAUUGAGUGCAAACGCAUAAACGAGCCUGACUGCGAGACUGACGGGUCGAGCAGAGACGAAAGUCGGAGUUAGUGAUCCGGUGGUAUGUGAGUGGAAAUGCCAUCGCUCAACGGAUAAAAGUUACCCUGGGGAUAACAGGCUGAUCUCCCCCAAGAGUCCACAUCGACGGGGAGGUUUGGCACCUCGAUGUC
rnacentral:rRNA from 1 species